GUCCUAUCCCACUGUGCAGAAGUGGCUGCAUAGUAUGACUCAGUCCUAAGGAGGCGCCUUCCCCAGAUCUGAAGCCAUAUCAGCCGACGCCUUUUUUCGUGGCGCGGGGCGUGGACGUGUCUAACCCGCAUGCAACAGGACAUGCUCUCCUUGAGGUCCACGUCAAGGAUCACUCAAGUGCAGUGCCUUGCCUCGCAUCCUGUAUCGUGACGAUGGUGGACGAAGGGGGAUAGCUGAGGCUGAACUGUGGCUGUUUAUAACGACAAACAAGUUGACAGCACCCUGAAAGAAAGGCACGGACUUCAAGGCGAUAGAAAAGUACUAAGUCUUGCCAAUCUGGGUAUCAAAAUACAUUGUAAACUUUUACGAAUUACUUCUUUGCCAACAGCCAAAAUAUGAGUGAGUACAUCUGGAUAAAAUACAAAACAUGAAAAUAUCUGAAAGUAUAUGUAAUAUACUAGAAUACUUUCUAAAUGUUGCACAGAACUUACCAUCAAAUCAUCUAUUUGAAGAGUGAGUCUUAAGUAGCUGAACCUUAAGCUGCAGAGUAAGUACAACUUCUCUGCAUCCUCAAAAUUUUGUAGCUCUGAAAUAUAUUUCAUUUCUUGUUAAAUUAAGUUCCUUCUCUUACCAGAAGCACAAAUAUUUUUUCCUAUGUUCAUAUGUUACUUGAGCAUCUGGAAAAAGAGUACGUUGUCCAAUGUAAGUCAUUUUGGCUUUAGCAAACUGAAGGCCAUGCAUUCAAUCCUCAGCACCAGAAUUAAAUAAAUAAAUAAAUAAAUAAAAGAUUUUUUAAAAGCUGGGAAAAAUGGAAGUCUUCUUUUCAGUUCUUUCUUUCUUAGGAAUGUUCUUGCCAAUAUAAAAUGUAUAAAGAGGCAUUUGUGUUUUCUUCUAGUACAUUACUAUGUAGAAGCAAGGGGAACUUUUCAUCUGUGCUUAUAGAUAUUAUUACAUUUCUUAUAGAUAUGUUUUAUUACAUACAUGCAAUUAUAGGUUACUAAUUCUGUGGCAUGCUGAUAAAAAAGAGAACAAGUAAUAAAAGAUUAUUACUACUGCCAAAUUAUUGCUUUCCUUCAUAAUUUUUGCUUUAAAAAACUGAACUCAAGUAUACUUAUCUGUUCUUUUAUUUUAUUCAUUUAUACCCAUACUCUGAAUACCUAGGAUGUAAUUGACAUAAUGACUCUUAAGACUCUUCCUUAAAAGCUUUAUGUUUGAUUAAUCAGAAAUUUAAAACUUCAGAGAUAGGACUCAAUUUCAAGUAAAACUUUUCCUCUUCCAUUUCAAACAGAAGCACUCUGGUGGUAGGAAAUUAUGAACUGCC
rnacentral:lncRNA from 1 species